rnacentral:lncRNA from 1 species
UAUGUUUGAACAUUUUGUUUUGAUGGAAGGGCAUGUCACCUGGAACAUCUUCUCGCUGCCUUCUCUUCCUGCAAAAUAAUUCUAGUACUUCGUGUUGACCUAACACAACACAACAUCAGCGGCAAAGGCCCUGACCCCUGAGUAGUCUAGCAUCUAUAUCUCCCCCUUCUACUUUUGAAACCAGAAAAAAUGAAACAACUCGUCAGUACGUGAAGAAUGAGAGAAAAAAAGUCAAAAGAACUUAAGCAUCCUGCAACUACUUUUGCAAUUUAUACUAAUCCCUUUUGCUCAAUGCUUGAAAUGCCGUACAAUAUUAAGAAAUAGAAAGGAAAGUGGUGAGAGCUUUUGAUUGAACUUUCGAUGCUUUGUCUUUUGAAAUUAUAUGAACUGAUUAGUUCUUUGUUUAGAAAAAUCUAAAUACAAUGUUCCUAAUCUGCAACAGAAUAUUUUUUUAGGGGCAAGUGAAAACAAUGAGACACCGAACCCUCUCUCUAACACACACAGACCUGAUGGUAGAAUACAUAGUGAAUUGCUAAUAAUGUUUUUGAUUUUCUCGUAUAGAAAACAUAUUCUUUUCUUCUUAUGAUAUAUACAAUUGAACUAUAUAUCCGACAUGAUCGAAACUUUUCCCAUGUUUCUCUAUGGAUUGAGGAAAGAAUACAUAGUGAAAUAAAAAUUACCAGUACUAGUCUUGGGAAAACUUAGACUGAAACAGUGCUACUGAAAGAACCAUUGGAAAAUGGAAUUUACCUUCAGUCUCGACAGCGAGCCUCUCAAGAUCAUGAUCUGCAAGGAAAAAAAUGGAGCAAAAUAGGUAAAAAAAUCAUACAAAUCAGAUGAACUAUCACAUGCAAUAGAUUAUUUUCUUUCUUUCAGGAAUAAGAACAAACACCCAUGGGAGCACAAAAUGGAAGACAUCCGCAAGUAGAUGCAAAAAAUGUUUGCCAAACUAGCAAGAUGGAGCCUAAACCAACAGAAUGGUCUUGAACUAUAAUGCAUCACCCAUUUUUUGGAUCCAUUUGAACUAAAAGGGAGCUCCUUUUUUCACCUGCAGGAUGAAUUGAAAAAAGCACACAAUGUUGAUCUGAAGAACCACCAUAUGUCGAACUGAACAUACACAAGAAAAGGACCGGCAGCAGAUGUCAAUAUAUAAAUUGAUGUUUAUUGCAGGUUUUCGGGAAUGAGAUUCAUGUUUUGUAACUACAUUAAAUUUCUAAAUAUGUGUACUGCUCCAUAAGAAAUGUUAUUACUACAUAUGUCCAGACUAUUUAGCCUCUAUUUGACAAUAAAGAAACAUCAAAAGGAUGGUUGAAGUUCUUUUUAGGCAUAUAAACAUAUAACUUGAGAGCAACAGGAAUAGUACAAGUUCUCCAAUGCAAACUGAACAAGGUUUACCAAGCAUAAGAACAAAAAGGUAGAGUGCACCCAAUUUAUUCGUGCCUCUUUUUCUAAACUUUUGUGCAUGCUAGAUUUAACAAGCGAUGAUCCAAUGAUCAAAAUAUAAAUUUAAUCACACCAAUUAGUAGAGAGAGACGUAGCAGCACAAACACAGUCAAUCUUUGAGAAGACAGAUAGGCAUUCUGUACUGUUCUGUCCUACAAUGCUGCUAUGAAAAUGAAGUCUCAAUUAUAUCAUGCUACAGAUUUCUCCUACGAUGAAAAGCACAUGCAGCACCACACUAGGUUUGGUACCAGCCUGCCUCUUCUCGCGUUGCUCAGCCUAUUUUUCAUGACAAGCGAGCGCCAAUGGCGAGCGGCAAGGAGCAGAACUUAUAGGCUCAGAAACGGCAAGGAGCAACUCGCACCCCUGCCCUUUCAUCAAACAGGUGGUGGGCACCUUGACUUCUGAACUUUCAUGGUCUUUCAAGAUGAGCAAGUGCAAUUUUUCAUGGAACCAAACUUUUGAACUUUUUCCAAGACACUCUUUUUAACAUGUGGCGGUGUGCACCAGUGCCAACAAAAGCUCGCUCGUGAAGGAGCAUGGCAGGAGGUGCUUGGACGGAUAAGGGAGGAAGAGUUGUACUAGUGUGAGCCCCUUACCUGGACGGGGAUCGGAGGAAGUAGUGCGUGCAGGCGGCUAGGCCUGUGUGUAGAACUGAGCUUUUUUUGUCUUGCAGUCUGUCCAACCUCCCUCGUGCUGCAGUACAGAGAGAAACAAAUUAGCGACAGAAAAGAGCAGUAGAGAGGAAAGAGAUGUAUGUACUGCUGUUGUUCUUUUGUUGAACCGCAACUGAAUGUCAUAAUGUAGAGAAAUUGGAGAAGAG